GGACAAAAUCGAUAUGUGAGGCUUCCCUAAGAAAGGUAGCGGUCGACAGCUAAAAGCCUGAUUUUCAAUUGGUAUGAAAAAAGUAAAUGUAUAAACGUUAUAUAAUGCACGAUAAGCGUGUACUGUUGUAUGUGUAUGGGAGUAGGAAAUUUCGGCUCACUCCUUCGGCAGAUUUGAACUCGAAUUCUCAAACUCAUUAAUAAUUCAUAUAGGAAAUUCAAAAGAAAUGCAUAUUAAUUCUGUAUUUAGAAAUAAGAGGAAGAUUACAGCCGUUUUUCGUCAACUUUAAACUCGACUUUCUCUUAAAGUAUUGAUUCGUUUGAACAGCUAUAUCCAACAC